UACGUAGGGGGCUAGCGUUGUCCGGAAUCAUUGGGCGUAAAGCGCGUGUAGGCGGUCCGGUAAGUCCGCUGUGAAAGUCUGGGGCUCAACCCUCGGAUGCCGGUGGAUACUGUCGGGCUUGAGUACGGAAGAGGCGAGUGGAAUUCCUGGUGUAGCAGUGAAAUGCGUAGAUAUCAGGAGGAACACCGAUGGCGAAGGCAGGUCUCUGGGCUGAAACUGACGCUCAUGCACGAAAGCGUGGGGAGCAAACAGG
rnacentral:rRNA from 1 species